rnacentral:rRNA from 1 species
ACCUGCGGAGGGAUCAUUACCGAGUUUACAACUCCCAAACCCCUGUGAACAUACCACUUGUUGCCUCGGCGGAUCAGCCCGCUCCCGGUAAAACGGGACGGCCCGCCAGAGGACCCCUAAACUCUGUUUCUAUAUGUAACUUCUGAGUAAAACCAUAAAUAAAUCAAAACUUUCAACAACGGAUCUCUUGGUUCUGGCAUCGAUGAAGAACGCAGCAAAAUGCGAUAAGUAAUGUGAAUUGCAGAAUUCAGUGAAUCAUCGAAUCUUUGAACGCACAUUGCGCCCGCCAGUAUUCUGGCGGGCAUGCCUGUUCGAGCGUCAUUUCAACCCUCAAGCACAGCUUGGUGUUGGGACUCGCGUUAAUUCGCGUUCCUCAAAUUGAUUGGCGGUCACGUCGAGCUUCCAUAGCGUAGUAGUAAAACCCUCGUUACUGGUAAUCGUCGCGGCCACGCCGUUAAACCCCAACUUCUGAAUGUGACCUCGGAUCAGGUAGAA